rnacentral:lncRNA from 1 species
CUCCAGAGAGGCUUCUCCAACCACAGCAGCGGUUCCCGACGCCCCAGCCUAAACCUUUGGAACACAAGAAAGAACAAGACAGAUGGAAGCCCUUGCUCUCCUUGGAGCCAUCCAUUUUAGUGUGGAAAGACAGACAACAAAGAAGAUAAAGAAUACGAAACCCAGAGAGGUUACGCCCUGUUCAAGGACCCACAGCUGGACAGAAUGCUGCAGAGACUGCACCAGGGUCUCCUGACACCCCGUUUUCUUUCAAACCUACUUCUCAUAGUUUAAUGUUCUCUCCCUUACAUCCUCUUAAUUCCUUUUUUAUUUCAUAAGUUAACUCUUUAAAGUGUUUUUGCAUUAAUUUGAUUCAACUGAAAAAGUGUUAAUCAUUCUUAAUAUUAU